rfam:Otolemur garnettii contig177178, whole genome shotgun sequence.
GCACCUGUAGCUCAGCAGCUAGGGCGCCAGCCACAUACACUGGAGCUGGCAGGUUCGAAUCCAGCCCGGGGCU